GAUGAACGCUGGCGGCGUGCUUAACACAUGCAAGUCGAACGGAAAGGCUCCUGCUUGCCGUGGUACUCGAGUGGCGCACGGGUGAGUAACACGUGGGUGAUCUGCCCCGCACUUCGGGAUAAGCCUGGGAAACUGGGUCUACUACCGGAUAGGACAGUGGUUUGGAUGCCAUUGUUGAAAGCUUUUGCGGUGUGGGAUGAGCUCGCGGCCUAUCAGCUUGUUGGUGGGGUAAUGGCCUACCAAGGCGUCGACGGGUAGCCGGCCUGAGAGGGUGUACGGCCACAUUGGGACUGAGAUACGGCCAGACUCCUACGGGAGGCAGCAGGGGGGAAUAUUGCACAAUGGGCGCAAGCCUGAUGCAGCGACGCCGCGUGGGGGAUGACGGCCUUCGGGUUGUAAACUCCUUUCGCUAGGGACGAAGCGUUAUGUGACGGUACCUAGAGAAGAAGCACCGGCUAACUACGUG
rnacentral:rRNA from 1 species